GACGAACGCUGGCGGCGUGCUUAACACAUGCAAGUCGAACGGAAAGGCCCUGCUUUUGUGGGGUGCUCGAGUGGCGAACGGGUGAGUAACACGUGAGUAACCUGCCCUUGACUUUGGGAUAACUUCAGGAAACUGGGGCUAAUACCGGAUAGGAGCUCCUGCUGCAUGGUGGGGGUUGGAAAGUUUCGGCGGUUGGGGAUGGACUCGCGGCUUAUCAGCUUGUUGGUGGGGUAGUGGCUUACCAAGGCUUUGACGGGUAGCCGGCCUGAGAGGGUGACCGGCGACAUUGGGACUGAGAUAGGGCGCAGACGGGUACGGGAGGCAGCAGUGGGGAGUCUGGCCCAAUGGGCGGAAGCCUGAGGCAGCAACGCCGCGUGCGGGAUGACGGCCUGCUGGUUGUAAACCGCUUUCGCCUGUGACGAAGCGUGAGUGACGGUAAUGGGUAAAGAAGCACCGGCUAACUACGUG
rnacentral:rRNA from 1 species